rnacentral:other from 1 species
UAUUCCCUGGGAUGUGCGUGGGGAGCUAGCUUGCGCCGGCCUCACUAGCGUUAACAGGGAGCCAGUCUCCGAAAUGGUGUGCAUACCCGCCGAGAGCGGGCAGCCUGAAGUUUCGGACAGGCGCCCACUUGGAGACCACCAGGUCUCGUGCCAGCAGCUUUUCACGGCAUCCCGGGUUCUUC